UACGUGGGGGCCGAGCGUUGUCCGGAGUUACUGGGCGUAAAGGGCGCGCAGGCGGCGGCGUGGGCCCGGCGUGAAAGCCCCCGGCUCAACCGGGGAACGUCGCCGGGGACCGCGCCGCUUGAGGGCGGCAGGGGCCGGUGGAAUGCCCGGUGUAGUGGUGAAAUGCGUAGAGAUCGGGCGGAACACCCGUGGCGAAGGCGGCCGGCUGGGCCGUCCCUGACGCUGAGGCGCGAAGGCGUGGGGAGCGAAC
rnacentral:rRNA from 1 species